AACAAUGGCAAUCUCAUCUCAUUUGGGAAGCUAAGCAAGAUUGGACCCGGCUAGUCCUUGGAUGGGAGACUACCAGAGAAUAGCAGAGGCCUUC
rnacentral:rRNA from 1 species